rnacentral:rRNA from 1 species
AACGAACGCUGGCGGCAUGCCUAACACAUGCAAUUCGAACUAGACCUUCGGGUCUAGUGGCGCACGUGUGCGUAACUCUUGAGAACCUGCCCUUAGGUUCGGAAUAACUCCCCAAAAUGGGUGCUAAUACCGGCUAAUGUCUUCGGACCAACGAUUUAUCGCCUUUGGAUGGGCCCGCUUUGGAUUAUCUAGUUGUUAGGGUAAAAUCCUACCAAGGCGACGAUCCAUAGCUGGUCUGAUAGGAUGACAAGCCACACUGGGACUGAGACACGACCGAGAAUGGUACGGAAGGAAGAAGUGGGGAAGAUGGGAAAAGGGAGGAAAGACUGACCCAGCAAUGGCGCGUGAGUGAUGAAGACUUUAGGGUUGUAAAGGCAGUAGACACGGGAUGAUAAUGACAGUACCGGGAGAAUAAGCCACGGAUAACUCAGUG